rfam:Paenibacillus sp. MY03 contig7, whole genome shotgun sequence.
GAAAGCCGUAUGAGGGAAAACCUCACGUACGGUUUGAUGAGGAGGAGGGCUGUCUCAAA